rnacentral:rRNA from 1 species
AGUAAUGUAUAGGAACUUGCCUAGUAGUGGGGGAUAACGUGUGGAAACGCACGCUAAUACCGCAUACGCUCUACGGAGGAAAGCGGGGGAUCUUCGGACCUCGUGCUACUAGAUGGGCCUAUAUCAGAUUAGCUAGUUGGUAAGGUAAUGGCUUACCAUGGCGACGAUCUGUAGCUGGUUUGAGAGAAUGAUCAGCCACACUGGGACUGAGACACGGCCCAG